GACAGAGGUGCCGAGCGUUAGGCGGAAUCACUGGGCUUAGAGCGUGUGUAGGCGGGCGAUCAAGUACCUUGUGAAAUCCCACGGCUCAACCGUGGAACCGCUGGGUAUACUGGUUGUCUUGAGCCGGCUAGGGGCGAGCGGAACAGACGGUGGAGCGGUGAAAUGCGUAGAUAUCGUCUGGAACGCCGAAGGUGAAAACAGCUCGCUGGGGCCGCGCUGACGCUGAGACACGAAAGCCAGGGGAGCGAACGGG
rnacentral:rRNA from 1 species